CAAGCAACCAUCGAUUUUUAAUUAUAUAAACUAAUAGCAUGUGAUGAGUUCAUUGUGAAACAAGCUAGGAAAAUAAUGGCUUCAAAGAAAUGUUCAAUAAUUUUUGUAGUUAUCUUUUUCUGUAUGUUGAAUUUUUCAUCCAUGGCAUUAGCAAGGAACAUUAAUGAUGCUUCUCAACUUUAUUCUUUUUCAGAUGAAAAGGGUUUGAAUAAGAGAGUUCUUGUGGAAGAAAAACGGAGAUCUCCAUGUAAGAGUGGAAGAAGUGGUCAAGUGAGAGAGGCUAGAGAUAAUCCACGUUGCCAUAAUUUUCUAUGAAUGAUAUGGAUGUGUUUGGUUGUGUAAUUAUUUGUAAAUUUAAAGUUGGAGAAAAAACAAAAUAAAGAAUUGUUUGCUUAGUUUGAUUUAUGUCUAUGCAAAUUAAACUAAUAAAACUUAUGUAGUGCUUUUUU